CAAGCCCUCCUCAUUGCCCCUCCUCAUAUUCCUGUUUACCCAUGAGCACACCUAACCUUUUGUCCCUGAAGGAGAAGAAGGAUGAGUCGCCAUUACUACGUACUUACCUACUAAUCCCCUUGCCUUUGUCCGGAGCUGAUGGAUGCAUGCUAAGGGAGCAUCUUUCCUAAGAUGCAUGCAGACUACUUUUUCUACCUCAUAUUUCUUGCAACAUGAAGCUAGACCUGUGUAUCUCUUCAUACACAUGAUUUUGACAUCUCAGUGCAGAGACUGGCAGACCUGAGCUGGCACUGCAUCUUGAGAGGACCCAAUUGUGAGAAACAGAAGUGGAAGAUUUCUACUAGUUUGUCCAAGAAGAGCUGAGAUUUUGCUGUGGGAAGCACAAGAAUCGUACUAGACAUUCCUCUUAAUUGCUGGAGACUUGCCCUUGGAAUCAAUCAAUCAUGUUUUCUGUUCCUAGGUUCUGUGACAGGAAAAGCUGUUUCCUGGAAGUAUAUCACAGUGCUGCUAAAAUAAACGUGUGUUGUCUUUUAAUUCCUCAAAAGGGUCCACUUCACUUUGACCCAUCUUGGUGAUUCACUCCUGGAAGGACGAGAAAAAGGGGUGUUAUAACAUGGAAGAGAUUUUUAUUCAGCAGAGAGCAGUGGGGGCACUAUAUUUAAUGACUAUCUGUUGCUUCUCCAUAAUACAGCACAGGCAAUUUUUUCUUUACAAAAAGUAAAAUAAAUAAAAAAAAUAUCACCCAGACAAUACAUUGAGAAUAAAAGUCAUCUUAAACUUAA